rnacentral:rRNA from 1 species
AGUGGAAGCGUCUGGAAAGGCGCGCGAUACAGGGUGACAGCCCCGUACACAAAAGCGCAUGUGCUGUGAGCUCGAUGAGUAGGGCGGGACACGUGGUAUCCUGUCUGAAUAUGGGGGGACCAUCCUCCAAGGCUAAAUACUCCUGACUGACCGAUAGUGAACCAGUACCGUGAGGGAAAGGCGAAAAGAACCCCGGCGAGGGGAGUGAAAAAGAACCUGAAACCGUGUACGUACAAGCAGUGGGAGCACAGGUUUACCUGUGUGACUGCGUACCUUUUGUAUAAUGGGUCAGCGACUUAUAUUCUGUAGCAAGGUUAACCGUAUAGGGGAGCCGGAGGGAAACCGAGUCUUAAUUGGGCGUUAAGUUGCAGGGUAUARACCCGAAACCCGGUGAUCUAGCCAUGGGCAGGUUGAAGGUUGGGUAACACUAACUGGAGGACCGAACCGACUAAUGUUGAAAAAUUAGCGGAUGACCUGUGGCUGGGGGUGAAAGGCCAAUCAAACCGGGAGAUAGCUGGUUCUCCCCGAAAGCUAUUUAGGUAGCGCCUCGUGAAUUCAUCUCCGGGGGUAGAGCACUGUUUCGGCUAGGGGGCCAUCCCGGCUUACCAACCC